UGAGGAAUUUUGCGCAAUGGGAGCAAUCCUGACGCAGCAACGCCGCGUGGGUGAUGAAGGCCUUCGGGUCGUAAAGCCCUGUCAGGGUGGGAAGAAUGUCCCGGGACUGAACAGGUUUCGGGAGUGACGGUACCACCAGAGGAAGCACCGGCUAACUCCGUGCC
rnacentral:rRNA from 1 species